rnacentral:rRNA from 1 species
AACGAACGCUGGCGGCAGGCUUAACACAUGCAAGUCGAACGAAGGCUCCUCUUCGGAGGAUGUCCUUAGUGGCGGACGGGUGAGUAACGCGUGGGAACAUACCCUUAGGUUGGGAACAACAGCUGGAAACGGCUGCUAAUACCUUAUGAUGUCUACGGACCAAAGAUUUAUCGCCUAGGGAUUGGCCCGCGUUGGAUUAGCUAGUUGGUGGGGUAACGGCCUACCAAGGCGACGAUCCAUAGCUGGUUUGAGAGGAUGAUCAGCCACACUGGGACUGAGACACGGCCCAG